ensembl:lincRNA
GUUGUGUAGGGAAGGAGAUGGAAAAAGAACUGGGCUGUGUCCCGUCCACACACCGACCCCCCACAGCCAGCGGAAUCACUGUGUACUGCACAUGUGAGGGAAACAGACAAGCAUCUUUGCGGAACAUUUGCGGCACAAGAACAGUGAGCGUCCUGCUGCAGGUGGCGUGGACCGGUGUGCUUUCCUGGUGGCCUGAAGAGAGGGGAUGCAAGAUAGUGCUGGCCUGUUGGAGAAGAGCCUCGGUGACUGAACACUGGGAAGAUCUGGAUUUCUCAAAUCUGAGGAAUGAAAGGGCAGUGCGUUCUACUGAACAGCAAAGACCCAAAUCCCAGGUCCCCUCUGUGUCCCACCUCUUGGGUGGGACACCUGGGGUGAAUCAGCAAGUCAGGCCCGCAGAGCGAGGACUCCUGGCCAUAGCGGCUUAGCGUCUGGAGGGCCCGCAGUGUUCUGGGAGUGUAACCGGGCAUAUACAGGGCGCAAGAGCUCAGCAGUGGUGAUGGAAAGUAAUAGUACCUACGAGGACCUAAGGCCAGGCCUUCUCCGGUUACCUCGGACCAGGUAAGACCUGAGAUUCCUGCAGCAUCCAAGGGUCUGCAGUGGGAAUUCCGGAGGUGCAGAGCCAGUACGAUUUGAUAUGGGAAUUAAAGGAAUACAGUGCUUCUUAUACCCAGUCCUGCGAAGCAAGCCCACACCCAGUGAACACUUCUUUCCUUGAUGUUUGUAGUGAUCGUGAGUCCAUUUCAGUAAGGAGUGCUAGAGAGGGACGCACGUCUGGCUAGUCCAAACUGCCUGUAAGAACUCUGAGCACAUUGCCUUCCACACCCCUGUCCCCAAGGCUGUCUUCUUUUUCCCACAACAGGGUUCCUUCAUCCACCCAACAUCUGUAAGGCUGAAAUUAUGGAUAUCAGCUGAAGCCCCCAAAGCUAUUCUAGACUGGACACUCAUUCACCUCAUGCACGAGCUUUCUACCAUGCCCUCUAGUAAGUGGCCCAGGACUUUCUCUAAAUUAGCGUUUUUUAGGGUUUUUUUUUUGUUUUGUUUUUUGUUUUUGGUAGUGGGGAUCCAACUCAGGACCUUGUACUUGUGAGGCAGGAAGAGAAACCACUGAGCUACAUUCCCCAGCCCUAAAUUAGAAUCUUAAAUCAGCCAGAGGCAUUCAGUGGGCUGCAGGGCUGCAGGGGAGGCAGGGGAUGAGCAGAGCACUUUCUCCGCAUCCUUCCCCUGGGGCUCUAAAGAGGGCCCCUGCCCCCUGUGAAUCAGGGACUAGGACAGGACUAUAAGGUGGUGAGUCUGUCUUUGGUGUCCUCUUUGCUGCAUCCUGUGGUCCUCUUGCUGCUUAACCUUCCUUGCGUCUCCAUCUGCGUUGCUCUUCUGAGUCUGCCUUGGUCACCUGUCAUGAAGCCACUACAGAUGUUGCCGCUGAUGCCUCUGCAGUCUGACUUGAGGCACCAGUGACCCUCAGAAGAGGCCUCCGGGAGGCAUCCUCCGCUGCUCUCUGUUCCCUUAGAUGCCGUGCUCCUAGCUCGAGGCAGCCCUGCUGUGAGGGCAGCAGCCCCACAGACGGAGGACUGUUUCCUCAGCAGAACCAUCGACUGCCUGCUCUGCGCUUGCAGAAGCGAUUGGACACACUGCUUUUUCAUGGCAGAACCUCAGAUAUUCAGAGACAACCGUCCCAUCCUUUGUUGCCAUCUCUUCUCCAGGUAAACAGUAGCUUUCGAUGCCUGUAGUCUUUGAAGCAGUCUGCAGUCUAGGAGCCUGUGCGAACUGUGAGAGUUCCUGACAUCAAAAAUGUUUUAACUUUCCUUGGAAACCUUGUCUAGAUUCAGGACGAGGCACCCUGCGACCGGCA